rnacentral:lncRNA from 1 species
GGUGUGACCGAGCCCUGGCUUUGGGCAUCCUACAUAUCUCGGGUUAUAAGAGAAUCAGGUCACGUGUAGUUCCAAUGGGUGUAGGAAUGAGUGGAUGAAUUGGAGAGUCGAGUUGAGGUCCCGUCGAGUUUCCGGUUCGUUGCUCCUUUUAUUACAAAAUAUAAAACUGGAAACAAAAGUACAAGAUCCUAUCUAUUCUAUUUGUCUUGCUC